GGGAGUGACAAAACGAUCAUAGUGGUGGGCUUUCAAUCCAUCUGUCCGGGGUUCGAUUCCCUGCUCCACA
rnacentral:tRNA from 1 species